rnacentral:rRNA from 1 species
UGGCUCAGAUUGAACGCUGGCGGCAGGCCUAACACAUGCAAGUCGAACGGUAACAGGAAGCAGCUUGCUGCUUCGCUGACGAGUGGCGGACGGGUGAGUAAUGUCUGGGAAACUGCCUGAUGGAGGGGGAUAACUACUGGAAACGGUAGCUAAUACCGCAUAACGUCGCAAGACCAAAGAGGGGGACCUUCGGGCCUCUUGCCAUCGGAUGUGCCCAGAUGGGAUUAGCUAGUAGGUGGGGUAACGGCUCACCUAGGCGACGAUCCCUAGCUGGUCUGAGAGGAUGACCAGCCACACUGGAACUGAGACACGGUCCAGACUCCUACGGGAGGCAGCAGUGGGGAAUAUUGCACAAUGGGCGCAAGCCUGAUGCAGCCAUGCCGCGUGUAUGAAGAAGGCCUUCGGGUUGUAAAGUACUUUCAGCGGGGAGGAAGGCGAUAAGGUUAAUAACCUUGUC